rnacentral:rRNA from 1 species
UACAGAGGGUGCAAGCGUUAAUCGGAAUUACUGGGCGUAAAGCGCGCGUAGGUGGUUUGUUAAGUUGGAUGUGAAAUCCCCGGGCUCAACCUGGGAACUGCAUCCAAAACUGGCAAGCUAGAGUAUGGUAGAGGGUGGUGGAAUUCCACGUGUAGCAGUGAAAUGCGUAGAGAUGUGGAGGAAUACCGAUGGCGAAGGCAGCCCCCUGGGCCAAUACUGACGCUGUGGCGCGAAAGCUAGGGGAGCAAACGGG